CCCUUAGAUGUUCGGGGCCGCACGCGCGCUACACUGAAGGACUCAGCGUGUCUCUCCCCCUAUCCCGAAAGGGAUGGGCAACCCGUUGAACCUCCUUCGUGCUAGGGAUUGGGGUUUGCAAUUAUCCCCCAUGAACGAGGAAUUCCCAGUAAGCGCGAGUCAUCAGCUCGCGUUGAUUACGUCCCUGCCCUUUGUACACACCGCCCGUCGCUACUACCGAUUGGAUGGUUUAGUGAGACCCUCGGAUCGGUCCCGACUCGGGGUGGGCUUCUGCCCCGGUCGUGGUUUCGCCGAGAAGACGGUCAAACUUGACUGUCUAGAGGAAGUAAAAGUCGUAACA
rnacentral:rRNA from 1 species